AUGGAAUAUAAAAGUUUUCUGAGACAAUUUGAUGCUAGAGUAGUAGCAAAUACUGAUUCUUAUGAUGAAAGACUUAACUUUUUAUUACAAUUUACUAUUGGAGAGCCACAUAGAAUUGCAAGUGGAUUUUCUCACUUAGAUGCUAAGAAGGGUUAUGAAGCAGCUUUAGACGAAUUUAAUGAUCGUUAUGGAGAUCCUGACGUCAUUGCUCAUGCGUACGUCAAAAGAGCGUUGGAUUGGUCAGUGAUUAAACCAGACAAUGCUAAAGCCUUGGAUGACUUUUCGAUAUUUUUACGAGAAUGUCUCUACGCUGUUGAGAAUGUUGAAGCAGCAAGAAUCUUAGAAUACUCUGAAAAUCUAAAACACCUUGUAAAAAAGUUGCCAUACUACUUACAUGAAAAAUGGAGAAACAUUGUCUAUGAUACAAAGGGAAGAAAGGAAACAGUUAAAUUUCAGCAAUUAGUUAAUUUCGUCAAGAAGGAAGCAAAGAAAGCGAUAGACCCGAUAUAUGGUAAAGAAGUGUUAAGCGGAACAAACUUAAGUGGUAAAAAGGCUGACAGUAGCCCAAAGGCAUCAGGAAAAACUUUUGUCCGUAAAAACUUUGCAACAGGAAUAAAGGAGUCAACUAAUGAACAAACUACACAAAUAGGUAAUAUAAGGGUGGCAUUUGUGACACCAUGCUUAUUUUGCCAGGGAACGAAUCAUUCGCUUGACAACUGUAAAACCUUUGUAAAAAAGGAUUUAAAGGAACGUUUCAAUUUCUUGAAAAUAAAAGGACUCUGUUUUGCAUGUCUUAAGUCUCAUCCAACAAUAUUACACAUUAACCCACGACAAAUUGAUCAACCGAAAAACGAAGAGUCAAAUAAGAGUGUGUUUGAAGACUCUACGAACAUUAUCAUGAUUUGCAUCACUUUGCAGAUGCGAGCGAAAUUGGAUAUGGUGUAGUAAGUUACUUGCGCAUUGAGAACGAAGAAGGUAACACUUAUUGUUCAUUCAUCAUGGGAAAGUCACGGGUCACACCUCUGAAACAAGUUACAAUUCCAAGGUUAGAGUUAACCGCAGCUACAGUAGCCGUGAGAACUAACAAAAUGAUUUUGAAAGAAUUAGAGAUACCUGUACAGCGAUAUUAUUUCUGGACAGAUAGUAUGACAGUUUUACGAUAUAUUAAGAAUACUACAUCACGAUUUCAUACAUUUGUAGCCAAUAGACUUGCAGUUAUACAUGAAGGCUCUAAUAUCUUUGACUGGCGUUACAUAAGUACCAAAUUGAAUCCCACAGACCUAGCCUCAAGAGGUGUUUCCGCAGAAGGUCUUCUUAGAAUGGAUCAAUGGAUUGUUCCUCCUGACUUUCUGUUGAAAUCGACAAAUGAAUGGCCCGAUUCAUUGAACUGUGACUCAGAUAUCGUUUGCACUAGUGACCCGGAAGUUAAAAAGGUAUCUGUAAGUACAAUUGUAACUAGUCAACCAAAUCAGGACAAUUGGUUUGACCUUUUGAACAAACUCAUAGAUCAUCAUUCAUCGUGGUAUUCUCUUAAAAGAAGCGUAGGAUGGAUACUUAAAGUUCGUAAGGAGUUACUUAGACGUGUCAGUAAUAAGAAAGAAGAUAACAAAAUGACACUUGUUAAGGAAUCGGAUUCGAAAGAUACUAAACGAAUAUCACUUCAGGAUUUAAAAGACGCCGAACAUUCAAUUUUAGUUUACGUGCAGAGACAAGAAUUCACUGAUGAGAUUAACACUCUUUCCGGUAACAAAACAGUCAAGGCUACAAGUAAUAUCCGGAAACUCGACCCAGUUUUAGAUGGUGAUCUUUUACGUGUAGGAGGACGUUUAAUAGAGUCAAAAAUGCCGGAAAAAUGUAAACAUCCGAUUAUAUUACCAAAGGGUCACCACAUCUCUGAAUUGAUUCUUAGACAAAUACACAUGGAUUUACAACACAGUGGUAGAAAUCAUUUGCUAGCUCACCUUCGUGAAACUUAUUGGUUGAUAAAUGCACCCUCAGCUAUGAGAAAAUUGAUAUCAAAAUGUGUUGUGUGUCGUCGCUUAAGUGCGCCCGUAGGUGAACAAAAGAUGGCUAAUUUGCCAUCAGAUCGUAUUACGCCGGAUGAACCACCUUUCUCGAGUGUAGGAGUAGAUUAUUUUGGUCCUUUUGAAGUGAAACAACGUAGAUGUCGUAUCAAACGCUAUUGUGCAAUUUUUACUUGCCUGUCUAGUAGAGCUAUUCAUUUGGAGGUAGCUGCAUCCUUAGAUACUAGUUCAUAUAUCAAUGUUUUACGACGAUUCAUUGCUCGUCGUGGUCAAGUAGAAAAGAUCAGAUCUGACAACGGCACGAAUUUCGUUGGCGCAGAGCGCGAACUUAAGAGCGCAUUAAGUGAAUGGAAUUUGAAUCAAAUUGAGAAUGCGAUGCUACAAAAGAACAUAGAUUGGCAGUUCAAUCCUCCGGCAGGUUCGCAUUUCGGAGGUGUAUGGGAGAGGUUGACAGUGGCGUAGCUUGCAUGUAUGCUCAGAUGCUCAAGCAUCCACAUCAUUUUGACAAAAAAAAUUAAAAAAAUAGCAGCAGUUUAACUCGGAAGUAUCCAAAUGUAAGGAGGAUAUGAGGAUAAUGUCCAGUCAUUUUCGAAGCAGUAUGCCUGGUCUUUCAUUAAGGAUAAUUUAGUUGAUGUAAACAAGAUAGUUGAAUCGCAGAAUAGUGUUUCAAGUUAACUUUUGUUCUUAAAAAAAAGUCUGCGUCAUCGGCUAAGGCAGCAACCAUUUGCAUUUGAUUUUCGGGGAAGGGGGAGAGGGUCAAAAACAAAUUUUUUUUUCUCUAAAAACUGGAAACAAACUUUUUUUCCAAAAAUCCAUAGCCCCCUCCCAGAAAAUCAAAUGGCUGCUGCCUAAGGCAAGCAGAGAAGACUAGACUCAUCUGAUAGACUUCAACUAUAGCGAUAAUUGUCGAUGAUGAACAUUCAAAGGCUUAUGAACCUAAUUUUAUUUUCAAGUAAAGAUUUGGAAGCGCUGCACGAUAACCAAAUCAAAUCUGUUGCUUAUGACGAGAAUGGAGUGAUCAAGAACCGGACGAUACUCUCCUGCAACACGUACUUAAUCAAAAAUCAGACUCAUUCGGACAGUAUAAAAUUGAAGUGCCGCUGUAAAAUGUAAAUAUAGGAGACAAAUUCAGUUUCAUAUUGCAAAUCAAAUCAUAGUUUGGAGUCUGCAAAAAAGGUGCAGAGUCGCGUUGAUCAAAGUGUACGCAAGACAAUGAAUAGUGUUAUUAGAGAACAAGUUUUGGACGAUGACGGUCUGAAUACUGUUUUUUGUGAGAUAGAAUCGACUCUCAAUAGUAGACCGAUUACGAUGAAUUCAGACGACCCAAGUGAUUUGGAAGCGCUGACGCCAAAUCAUCUGUUGCUUAUGAAACGCAAAGCAUACUUACCUCCUGGACUAUUCAGUAAAACGGACAAUUAUUGCCGUCGAAAAUGGAGACAAAUUCAGUAUAUUGCAAAUCUAUUUUGA
rnacentral:sRNA from 1 species